rnacentral:rRNA from 1 species
GAUUAAAUUGCUAAGGGCACAC